CUGCUGUAUACCUUGGUGUUCUUUGAUAAUAGCCAACCAAACAUUGAAAAUAUUUCUAGAACAGUGGUUCCCGACCACGUUCAUGGAGGCCCUGCCAACACUGCACAUUUUGCAUGUCUCCUUAAUUAAACACACUUGAUUUAGGUCAUCAGCUCAUUAGUAGAAUCUCCAAGACCUGAAGUGGGUUUGACAGAAAAAGGAGACAAGCUUGGGCAGGCCGGAACACAGCAAGCAAACAUCAAGCCGUCAGCGAGCAUCUGUUGGGCUAGUAGACUUUUUGUUGUUGUUUUUGUUGUGUUCUACACGUUUGCAGUCGUCAGGCUCAAAAUGGCGUUUGGCUUCUGUUUCCAUGGUGUCACACUGGGUAGCUCUGCCCAUAGUGAAUCAUCAUUGGUCCAAGAUCCUGCACCUCAUAGAUCUACAGAUCUCGGUUUCAGAGAAAGGACAGAAAACAUGUUAACCUUUGUAUAUCUUCAAUGAAGCCCUAGCAUGCAAUUGUAAAGUAUGUCUAAUUUAAAUAAAAUAUCCGACCAUCACACACUUUUUAACAUAUGAUACUUGAACAUUGUUAAACAUGUUAGCAUGUGCAUAAAAACACAACAUUUUGUCUUUUGACUUCUAGCAUGGCUAGCUAAAAUAGUAGACUUUAAAUAAAAUCACAAGCUUGGCAUUUCUGCUUUUUAAACCUCCAAUAUGACCAAUUUGAAGUCCAUUACCACAGUUAAACUUUUCUGUCACAAAUACUAUUCAUAGACAAUUAGCUGUCCAUUAAACUAAUUAAUGUGCAUUAAAUUAACCAGAAUACUCCUAAUAAGAAGAUUAGAUCUUCAACUCAAAUCCAAGGAUGUGUUUUCGUACCCACACACAAAGAAGUAGACUGUCAGAGAAGGAGAGAAGAGAGUUCAUACUGUUUGAGCCUCUGUGUGUGCACACAUAUACUCUGAAAUAUUAGGUUGUUAGCAAGCACCAUUACGAAGUGAGAAAGGGAGGCGAACAGAGAGCCAUUCUUUCACGAGGAGGUGCCAUGUCCCAACCAUCACACUCCCGGCUCAUGAGGGCUCCAAUGGCACCUGAGGGGGAAUCUCAUGGCUGUCAUCCCAGAAAGCCUCCUGCACUGAUGCAGGCCUGCCAUCUGCUCUCCAUAUGAGAUAAAAAUGAGGAAUUGUCUUCGAAAAGCCAUCUUUUUCUCUUCUUCAACUCACCAACUGAAAAAUCGUUAUUGCUACGAUAUUCUGGAAACAAGAACAGGAAGCCACAUCAUUAGUUUCUGGUUGACUAACGUAGUGGGUAAUUACCUUAA